UACGGGGGGGGCAAGCGUUGUUCGGAAUUACUGGGCGUAAAGGGCUCGUAGGCGGCCAACUAAGUCAGACGUGAAAUCCCUCGGCUUAACCGGGGAACUGCGUCUGAUACUGGAUGGCUGGAGGUUGGGAGAGGGAUGCGGAAUUCCAGGUGUAGCGGUGAAAUGCGUAGAUAUCUGGAGGAACACCGGUGGCGAAGGCGGCAUCCUGGACCAAUUCUGACGCUGAGGAGCGAAAGCCAGGGGAGCAAAGCGGG
rnacentral:rRNA from 1 species